GACGAACGCUGGCGGCGUGCCUAAUACAUGCAAGUCGAACGCUUCUUUCCUCCCGAGUGCUUGCACUCAAUUGGAAAGAGGAGUGGCGGACGGGUGAGUAACACGUGGGUAACCUACCCAUCAGAGGGGGAUAACACUUGGAAACAGGUGCUAAUACCGCAUAACAGUUUAUGCCGCAUGGCAUAAGAGUGAAAGGCGCUUUCGGGUGUCGCUGAUGGAUGAACCCGCGGUGCAUUAGCUAGUUGGUGAGGUAACGGCUCACCAAGGCCACGAUGCAUAGCCGACCUGAGAGGGUGAUCGGCCACACUGGGACUGAGACACGGCCCAGACUCCUACGGGAGGCAGCAGUAGGGAAUCUUCGGCAAUGGACGAAAGUCUGACCGAGCAACGCCGCGUGAGUGAAGAAGGUUUUCGGAUCGUAAAACUCUGUUGUUAGAGAAGAACAAGGACGUUAGUAACUGAACGUCCCCUGACGGUAUCUAACCAGAAAGCCACGGCUAACUACGUGCCAGCAGCCGCGGUAAUACGUAGGUGGCAAGCGUUGUCCGGAUUUAUUGGGCGUAAAGCGAGCGCAGGCGGUUUCUUAAGUCUGAUGUGAAAGCCCCCGGCUCAACCGGGGAGGGUCAUUGGAAACUGGGAGACUUGAGUGCAGAAGAGGAGAGUGGAAUUCCAUGUGUAGCGGUGAAAUGCGUAGAUAUAUGGAGGAACACCAGUGGCGAAUGCGGCUCUCUGGUCUGUAACUGACGCUGAGGCUCGAAAGCGUGGGGAGCAAACAGGAUUAGAUACCCUGGUAGUCCACGCCGUAGACGAUGAGUGCUAAGUGUUGGAGGGUUUCCGCCCUUCAGUGCUGCAGCAAACGCAUUAAGCACUCCGCCUGGGGAGUACGACCGCAAGGUUGAAACUCAAAGGGAAUUGACGGGGGC
rnacentral:rRNA from 1 species